CGUGACGCUACGGACUUGAAAAUCCGUUGGCUUUAUUGACCGUGAGGGUUCAAGUCCCUCUACCCCCA
rnacentral:tRNA from 1 species